CUCCGUCGAACUCUGCCCUCUGUGCAGGCGGUUUGGCUCGGAUGCAGGUGAUAUUUUAGAGAUUAGGCUGAUCAGCGCUCGGAGCUAUGAAAAUGGCGUCUAUUCAGUUGCGCUGCCAGGCUCCGCCCCUUCCUGCCUUCAAUAAAUUUUGAAGAAGAUCAUGAGUUGCUUGUUAACAAAUCUCUUUAGUGACUGAAGCUAUUAAGAGAUCAUCCAUGUACUGGAGUAAUACACAUUUCCCUGGAAUGGAUUUGAAAUCUUGCAAAUCUUGACUUAGUGCAGAUCCAAAUAGAGUAGGUGAAUUCUUAAACCCUUGUGGUAACCUGGUCCAGGUCAUCUGACAUUUUGAUCCCGUAACAGUGUCUUCCCAUUGGAUCUCUUUGAGAUCCAAGACUGUGUAGUAAGUUGCCCCACCUGGAAUUAGGGCAAGCAG